rnacentral:rRNA from 1 species
AACAAACGCUGGCGGCGUGCCUAAUACAUGCAAGUCGAACGGGGAAAGCUUUCGGGUGAGUACUAGUGGCGCACGGGUGAGUAACGCGUGGAUAAUCUGCCUUAGAGUGGGGGAUAACUAGUCGAAAGAUUAGCUAAUACCGCAUAAGACCACAAGAACUGCGGUUCAAGAGGUCAAAGGUUUUUCGCUCUAAGAUGAGUCCGCGUAAGAUUAGCUAGUUGGUGAGGUAACGGCUCACCAAGGCAACGACCUUUAACUGGUCUGAGAGGAUGAUCAGUCACACUGGAACUGAGACACGGUCCAGACUCCUACGGGAGGCAGCAGUAGGGAAUAUUGCACAAUGGAGGAAACUCUGAUGCAGCGACGCCGCGUGAGUGAUGAAGGCCUUCGGGUCGUAAAGCUCUGUCGCAGGGAAUAACACAAUGAAUGUACCCUGUAAGAAAGGAUCGGCUAACUUCGUGCCAGCCGCCGCUGUAAGAC